AGUGAAUAGAUACCCUGGUAGUCCCAACCUUAAACGGUGUACAUUUGGUGUGGGGAGAUUGACCCUCUCCGUGCCGGAGCUAAACGCGUUAAAAUGUACCGCCUGGGGAGUACGGUCGCAAGAUUAAAACUCAAAGAAAUUGACGGGGGCCCGCACAAGCGGAGGAGCAUGUGGCUUAAUUCGAUGCAACGCGAAGAACCUUACCAGGGCUUGACAUGCAGCUGCACAUCCGCCGAAAAGUGGAUUCCUUCGAGGGUGCUGCACAGGUGCUGCAUGGCUGUCGUCAGUUCGUGCCGUGAGGUGUUGGGUUAAGUCCCGCAACGAACGCAACCCCUGUGGCUAGUUGCAAGCAGUGAUGAAAGUCACUGUGCACUCUAGUCAGACUGCCCGUGAUAAGCGGGAGGAAGGUGGGGAUGACGUCAAGUCAGUAUGGCCCUUACGCCCUGGGCUGCACACGUGCUACAAUGGUCGGUACAGAGGGAAGCGAAACCGCGAGGCGAAGCAAAUCCCAUAAAA
rnacentral:rRNA from 1 species